rnacentral:rRNA from 1 species
CCUACGGGUGGCAGCAGUCGAGAAUCAUUCACAAUGGGGGAAACCCUGAUGGUGCGACGCCGCGUGGGGGAAUGAAGGUCUUCGGAUUGUAAACCCCUGUCAUGUGGGAGCAAAUUAAAAAGAUAGUACCACAAGAGGAAGAGACGGCUAACUCUGUGCCAGCAGCCGCGGUAAUACAGAGGUCUCAAGCGUUGUUCGGAAGCACUGGGCGUAAAGCGUGCGUAGGCUGUUUCGUAAGUCGUGUGUGAAAGGCGCGGGCUCAACCCGCGGACGGCGCAUGAUACUGCGAGACUAGAGUAAAGGAGGGGGAACCGGAAUUCGCGGUGUAGCAGUGGAAUGCGUAGAUAUCGAGAGGAACACUAGUGGCGAAGGCGGGUUCCUGGAGAUUAACUGACGCUGAGGCACGAAGGCCAGGGGAGCGAAAGGGAUUAGAUACCCUGGUAGUC